GAUUUGCUGCGUGUCCUCAGUGUGUCAGGUGACAGUGAGGAAGCAGCUUUUCAAACUGCACCAACCUUAAAGCUGCAGAGUGACAAGCCCAGGUUCACGCGAGAGAGACAGAAAGAAGCAAGGACUGAGAAGCAGUCACUGCUGCGUGAGCGUCUGUGUGCGUCAGCACUGAGAGGGUAACUAAUUCAUCUCGACCUGCUGAUGUCUCCGGAGGCCUCUUGCAGACUCGUAUUAAUAGAACAACAGCACAACUUUUGUGCAAAUAGUUGUCUGUCAAAAGUGGAAUCCUGCUUAAUCAGCACUAACACUGAAUUGUUCACAUAUCGACGGAUCAUGAUUCCUGUUCUUCCAGAGAGUUAAACUGAGGCAGAAGUGUAGCAUAGCUUUUAAAUCUUUUUUUCUCCAAUAUGAGAAUAGUUCCUACUUUAAAACUGAGCACAACAAGGUUUGUGGAUUUAUUGGGUUAAUCGGGCUUCUGGAAAGAGACGCUGCUUUUAAAUGUAUUUUUGUUGCAUUGAGCAGAACAAGGCAUGUGCUCUCCGGUUCCACUAUAUCCAAGAGAAGACACAAAAACUGGGAAUCUCAAACCAACAAAAUCUGGGAUCAACAGUCCUGCCAGUCAGGGGGGAAGAAAGGUUUUUAGGUAAACUGUAGCUUUAAAACUUUAAACUUAUUGUAAGUGCUUAUCAAAUUAUGCUUUUUAUAAAAAUGUGGUAGCAUUUCAUAACACAGCCCAUUAGGAAUUAAAUGGAAUUUCACUGUAUUUUGUUCUGAAAUUACAGAGCAAUGAUAUUUAACAGUAUAUUUUACAUUACAAUAAAAGGGUAGCAAUUCAAGUUUUUACAGGAAAGAAAAAAAUAGUUAAACUAUAGGUAAUUUUAAGUCGUGCAUAAGUUCUAGGUAAUUUGGUGGAAAACCCAAACAACGUUUCUGCAUUUGUAAAUUUUGCAUUAUGACGUAUUACCCGCUGCCAAGUAUCCAUAGGUAAUUAGUAAUUAUAAUGUUAUUUCUAAAAGGGAAUUACACCGUUAGUCACAGACCAGAAAAAAACUGCCUGAAGUUUCAAUAACUGUCGUGUCGAGUGCAAAAAGAAAUGUGAUGAUUUUGAGCAUCAGAUGUGAGGACUUCGUAAUUUACUGUCCUAAUUGGGUCUUUUUGUUUGUAAUUAAACACAUUAAACAAUUAAUUCAUCAUUGCACUAUUUCCAAUAACCUAUUAGCUACACUCUCAUAUGGAAUCCGCCCACUCAACAAACAGUAGUAAAUGCACAAGUAAUGAUAAUCUAAUGGAAAGUGUGUCGUGUCAUACAGCAUGUGUGACAGCAUCUAUAUAGUACUUAUGUGCGUGUUUUCUACUUUAGGCAGGGAAAUAAAACCUGACGUUUUAGCGUGAGUUACUACAAACAGGUCAAUCUGCUGUCUCACGGCAUGCACUUGUCUUGCGUGUACACGUCAGAUCCGUGCAGGUUUUGACGUCCGUUUCUCGUGCAGGCCCACGUCAUCACGCUGCCAGCUGAUCGGAGUGGGAAGCCGGGUGUGUGUCUCGCCUGGGUGUGUGUGAGAGUGAAAGAGAGAGAGAGAGAGGCAGAGAGACACAGAAAGAGAGAGAAGGUGGGGGGGGCAUUCGUUGUGUAAAAGGGGCUGAAGUCCUGCGCUGUCUUCUCCGCUGCUGCUGCUGCUGCUGUGUGCUCCACACACUUAAACGCUGUCAAACGUUUCCGUAGCGCGGACGCAAAUUUUUUCCACAGACAGCGACACACCCAGGCGGACUCCGCCGAGCAGUGGGCGAGGCAGCCUGAACUCCGCCGGACCGUUCAAGACGUGCCGGAGCGGGCAGGAGCGACCCGGCUGCUGUUGGUGGUCAAGAAAUACAUGCACCUAAAGCCAGAGGAAGAAAGAGGAAGGAGUCACCAUUUGCGCCUUAAAGCGGAUUGUGCAUCACUGCAGGCUCUCUCACGCUCACCGGCUUCAUACCAGCUGAUGCACAGCAGUUCUUCACUGGCAAGCUUUAUGUUUCUGUACACAUGCUAAAGCUGCCAGCUGAAGAACUGCUCUGGCCAGCUCUGCUCCCGGAAGGCUCAAGAAGAGGAAGCAGAUGACGGGUGAUGGGAAUUUGGCUGAAGAGGACUUUUAUAACCUGUAAGAUUGGACCAGAAACAUUGUAUAGAUUAUAGGCAGACAUGUUAUCCUUUUCCCACCAAAAACUGCUUGAAUUGUGUUUUUUAUGUCUUUUAAUAAAGCACAAAAUAUUUUCUCA